UGAGGAAUAUUGGUCAAUGGAGGCAACUCUGAACCAGCCAUGCCGCGUGCAGGAAGAAUGCCCUACGGGUUGUAAACUGCUUUUAUAUAGGAAUAAACCUUUCUACGUGUAGAAAGCUGAAGGUACUAUAAGAAUAAGCACCGGCUAACUCCGUGCCAGCAGCCGCGGUAAUACGGAGGGUGCAAGCGUUAUCCGGAAUCAUUGGGUUUAAAGGGUCCGCAGGCGGACUAGUAAGUCAGUGGUGAAAUCCCAUCGCUUAACGAUGGAACUGCCAUUGAUACUGUUAGUCUUGAAUUCGGUCGAAGUGGGCGGAAUGUGUCAUGUAGCGGUGAAAUGCAUAGAUAUGACACAGAACACCGAUAGCGAAGGCAGCUCACUAGGCCUGAAUUGACGCUCAGGGACGAAAGCGUGGGGAGCGAACAGG
rnacentral:rRNA from 1 species